GAUGAAGAACGUAGCGAAAUGCGAUAAGUAAUGUGAAUUGCAGAAUUCAGUGAAUCAUCGAAUCUUUGAACGCACAUUGCGCCCGCCAGCACUCUGGCGGGCAUGCCUGUUCGAGCGUCAUUUCAACCAUCAAGCCCCCAGGGGCUUGUGCUGGGGCCCUGCGGCUGCCCGCAGGCCCUGAAAACCAGUGGCGGGCUCGCUAGUCACACCGAGCGCAGUAGCACAUCUCGCUCAGGGCGUGCGGCGGGCUCCUGCCGUGAAACCCCCCACUGUAACCCCAAAGGUUGACCUCGGAUCAGGUAGGAAUAUCCGCUGAACUUAAGCAUAUCAAUAAGCGGAGGA
rnacentral:misc_RNA from 1 species